rnacentral:rRNA from 1 species
AGGUAGUGACAAGAAUUAACAAUACAGGGCGAAUGUCUUGUAAUUGGAAUGAUGGUGACCCAAACCCUCACCAGAGUAGCAAUUGGAGGGCAAGUCUGGUGCCAGCAGCCGCGCUAAUUGCAGCUCCAAUAGCGUACUAUUAAACUUGUUGCAGUUAAAAAGCUCGUAGUUGUAUUUUUGCGUUGACGGUUUGACCAUUUGGUUGGUUAUUUCGUUUUCGCUUUUGGGAAUUUCCCUUUUUACUUUGAGUAAAUUAGAGUGUUUCAAGCAGACUUUUGUCUUGAAUACUUCAGCAUGGAAUAAUAGAGUAGGACUUUGGUUCUAUUUUGUUGGUUAUUGAACCUUAGUAAUGGUUAAUAGGAUGGGUCCUAACCAUAAACUAUGCCGACUAGUGAUUGGAGGUCGUCGUUUUUUGACCCCUUCAGGAACUUGAGAGAAAUCAAAGUCUUUGG